rnacentral:rRNA from 1 species
GUAGGUGGCAAGCGUUGUCCGGAAUUAUUGGGGCGUAAAAGCGCGCGCAGGCGGGUCCUUUAAGUCUGAUGUGAAAGCCCACGGGCUCAACCGUGGAGGGUCAUUGGAAACUGGGGGACUUGAGUACAGAGAGGAAAGCGGAAUUCCAAGCGUAGCGGUGAAAAUGCGUAGAGAUUUGGAGGAACACCAGUGGCGAAGGCGGCUUUCUGGUCUGUAACUGACGCUGAGGCGCGAAAGCGUGGGGAGCAAACAGGAUUAGAUACCCUGGUAGUCCACGCCGUAAACGAUGAGUGCUAAGUGUUAGGGGGUUUCCGCCCCUUAGUGCUGCAGCUAACGCAUUAAGCACUCCGCCUGGGGAGUACGGCCGCAAAGGCUG